CAGCAGCCACGGUAAUACGAAGGGGGCAAGCGUUGUUCGGAAUUAUUGGGCGUAAAGGGCGCGUAGGCGGCUUGGCAAGUUUCGUGUGAAAUCUUCGGGCUCAACUCGAAGUCUGCACGGAAAACUGCCGGGCUUGAGUAUGGGAGAGGUGAGUGGAAUUUCCGGUGUAGCGGUGAAAUGCGUAGAUAUCUGAAGGAACACCUGUGGCGAAAGCGGCUCACUGGACCAUUACUGACGCUGAGGCGCGAAAGCUAGGGGGGCAAACAGGAUUAGAUACCCGAGUAGUCCCUGUCUCUUAUAA
rnacentral:rRNA from 1 species